AGACACGCUGUGGCACACGCCACGGGGAGCCAGAGAACGUGUGGUGGGGGUGGCGAAGAUGUGGAAACAGCAAGAGAACUAGAAUUGGAAGUAAAGCGUUGAAGAUGUGACUGAAUUGCUGCAAUCUCAUGAUCAAAUUUGAAUGGAUGAGGAGUUGCUUCUUAGGGAUAAGCUAAGAAAGUGGUUUCUUGAGAUGGAAUCUACUGGUUGCUCCUUGAGGGCAGGACAGUUCUUAUGGCUUUAUCUGUUGCUUAAGCACAGAGAGAGGUCUGUGAGGUCAAAACUGUUGUCAUGAUAGCAAGAUGCUUGUCUUUUUCAUUUAUUCUCACAGUGUGCAGAGGCUACAUGAUUUGUGAUGACAUCCUCAUUGUUGUUAAUGAAUGGUGCUAUACUUGAAUUUUCUAAGGUGUCGUUAGCAAUUCUCCUGCCUCAGCCUCCUGUGUAACUGGGACUACAGGGAAGCACCAUUUUCCACAAAACUCUCAAGAAGGACUUGUUGCAACUGGAAAAGCAAUUAAAUGUGAAUCGUGAUCCAGGAGAAAAUAACAACCCACAUAACUCCCAAAUUAAAAGUUUUCCAAAGAUACAUCAGUUUUUUUCUCUUGGCCUUUUAAGAGAAAAAGGCCUAACUAGCCAACAAAUACGCUGACAGGUUUGUGUUUGGUUUUGAAAACACACACCUUAGUGUACUGAAAGAAAAACAAUUUCAUUUAAUUUGGUUUGUUGGUCCCAUACCCCAUCUAUCAAUGUAUGUGCUAUUUACAAAUAGAAAAGUUCUAUACUAACAGUAUUUUUGCAGUACUUUUGAUAAUUCCUAGACCUCUAUUUUAAUUCUGUGUAUUAAUGUGAAUAACAGAUGGAUAUUUUAAUAUUUAAGGCAGAUGGUAAACUUUCCUAUAGGUCUUGUGAGACUUCGUCUUACAGGCUGAACACCAUUCACAAAAUGUAAUAAUGCUUCAUUCCUUCAGGUUGAGGUAAAGAACUUGAGCAACUGGAUUAGCAAAGCUUCAAAGACAAUGAAAUGUGGCCUAAGAUGUAAUUAUGUUUUCUGCCCUUCCUUUGGGCCAGGGUAGUUUUGCACUUGACACAAUGGAAAAUAGGCCAUAAAGCCUGAAAAUAAAAUGUUCUAAACCCCAA
rnacentral:antisense_RNA from 1 species